UUAAUAUUUAUUUAUUAAUUUAUUAAUUUUUUAAUAUAUUUUUUAUAAAAAUAAUUAUAUAAUGAGUUGUUUAAGUAAUUUAUGUUGAAUAAAUAAUAAUAAUAAUAGUUUAUUAGUAUUGUAAAAGAAUAUUGAAAUAUAUUGAAAAAUUUUUAUAAAAAAAGAAAAUUUAAUUUAUUGUACCUUGUGUAUCAGGGUUUAUUAAAUAAAUAAUAUAAAUAUAUUUUUUUCGAUUUUAAAAGAGUUAAUAAAUAAUUAAAGUUAUUGUAAUAAAAUUAUUUUAAAUUGUUUAUUAGAAAUGAUAUGUUAUUCGUUUUUAAAGGUAUCUAGUUUUUUAAGAAAUAAAUUUAAUUUAGAAAUUUUAAAUUUAUUAAUUUAAUUAAUUAAAUUUAAUAAUUUAAAAUUUUAAUAUUUUAUGGGAUAAGCUAUAAAAUAAAUUUUUAUAAAUAAGUAAAAAUUUUAAAAAAUGUAUGAUUAUAAUUUUCAAUCAUUAAAAAUUUGUUAUAAAUUAUUUAAUUUAAAUAAAUUAUUUAUUAAAUUUUAAAUAUUAUAUUAAAAUAUUUAUUUUAAUUUUUUUAUAUAAAUUAAUUAUGAUAAAAUUAGUAUAUAUAUAUAUUAUUGUAUAAAUAUUUAUAUUUGUUAGGUUUAUAUAAAGAAUUCGGCAAAAUAAAUAUUCGCCUGUUUAACAAAAACAUGUCUUUUUGAAAUUUAUUAUAAAGUCUAAUCUGCCCAAUGAAUUUUUAAUGGCCGCAGUAUUUUAACUGUGCAAAGGUAGCAUAAUCAUUAGUCUUUUAAUUGAAGGCUGGAAUGAAUGAUUGAACGAAAUAUUAACUGUUUCAUAUAAAUUUAUAUAAAACUUUAUUUUUUAGUUAAAAAGCUAAAAUAAUUUUAAAAGACGAGAAGACCCUAUAAAUCUUUAUAUUUUUAAAAAUUUUAAUUAUUUAGAUUAAUUUAAUUAUAAUUUUAUGAAGUAUUUUAUUGGGGUGAUAUUAAAAUUUAAUAAACUUUUAAUUUUGUAUACUCAUUAAUGUAUGAAUAAUUGAUCCAGUUUUAUUGAUUAAAAAUUUAAGUUACUUUAGGGAUAACAGCGUAAUUUUUUUGGAGAGUUCUUAUCGAUAAAAAAGAUUGCGACCUCGAUGUUGGAUUAAGGUAUAAUUUUAGGUGUAGCUGUUUAAAUUUUAAGUCUGUUCGACUUUUAAAUCCUUACAUGAUCUGAGUUCAAACCGGUGUAAGCCAGGUUGGUUUCUAUCUUUAAUUAAUUUAAAUAUUUUAGUACGAAAGGAUUAAAUAUUAUAAUAAUUAUAUUUUGUAUUUAUUGAAUAAAAUUAAUUU
rnacentral:rRNA from 1 species